rnacentral:tRNA from 1 species
CACUAAGAAGCUAUGCAGCAGCAAUAGCCUUUUAAGCUGGAGACAGGUGAUUAUAACCACCCUUAGUGA